GGCAGUGAAGCUCAGUGGUAGAGCAUUUGCCUAUCAUGUGCUGGGUUUGAUCCCCAGUACUGCCC
rnacentral:tRNA from 1 species